AUAGUAAUAGUUAAAUAUUGGUUUAAAUAUAUAAGGUUUAUUUUGUAGUGUAUAUAGUGGUAUAGAAUAGAAUUUUAUGGUUUAAAAGUUGUUUGUUAAAUUAAGUGAUAAAUUAGGUAAUAAAAUAGUGUGAGUUAAAAUAGUAAAAUAUAGAUGAUUGGUUAUAUUUAGUUUGAUGUGAUAUAGAUAGAUAGGGAGAUAGAUAGAGAGA
rnacentral:misc_RNA from 1 species